rnacentral:rRNA from 1 species
UACGAAGGGUGCAAGCGUUACUCGGAAUUACUGGGCGUAAAGCGUGCGUAGGCGGUUUGUUAAGUCCGUUGUGAAAGCCCUGGGCUCAACCUGGGAAUUGCAGUGGAUACUGGCGAGCUAGAGUGCGGUAGAGGAUGGUGGAAUUCCCGGUGUAGCGGUGAAAUGCGUAGAGAUCGGGAGGAACACCCGUGGCGAAGGCGGCCAUCUGGACCAGCACUGACGCUGAGGCACGAAAGCGUGGGGAGCGAACGAGG